ensembl:misc_RNA
AGGCCGCGGCCCCAGGGACCAGCGCAUACUCCCGAGAUGAGCUCCGGGCGUCACCCCGUGGCCGCCGACAACUGAAUAAACACAGCGAAGCGCUGCGAUCUGUCAAGGGCUGGGGCUGCCU